AGCUGGUGUUGUGAAUCAGGCCGU
rnacentral:ncRNA from 7 species